CUUUGAGUAAUGGCCUGAGGUUGGAGGAAAGAAAGUUGCUGCUGGUUUCCAGUCAACCAUCUUCUUUUUUGUCCCAUUUGGAGAAUCUACAAAGAAACAGCUAUUUCAGAGAAAGGACAUUUCUGAGCCCCAGGCCUUCCCUGGAAUACUGAACUCCUUUCCGGCAUGGAGUUGGAACAACUGAGCUCUCAGAGUUCUCUCUGCUGUUCUGUCUGUGCCUGAAUGAAAAAGCCCCGGGAGCAGAGCCCUGUUAGAAGUUACAGGAGGAAGUGAGAAGCCAGGGGGCAGGUAACGUCUCCACAA